UUUAAGGGUGCAAGAAAGCAGAAUACUUCUCUACAAUAUAAUGAAGCUUCAAAGAACAUUUAUUAAGUUAACUAAAGAAGGGUUAUCAAAAUCCAUACUAAUAGUCAAAUCCUGUUACAACUUAAAAGGGACUUUCCAAAGUCUUUAGUGGCAGUGGAAUUUUGUACUGAACAUCAUUGAAGUAAAUGGUCCACUGGGCUGGGCCUUUGGACUUUUUGGUUAUAUGGUCUCUGCUGAAAAGGUGUUUUGCUAUAACUGGAUUUGACCUCUUCCAUGUAAGAAGAUCUAAAUAUUAAAUGCAAAGUACUCUGGAAAAUAAGAAAAAAAAAUAGAAAAGUCAUUUAUUCCAAAAUUUAUAGAUAAUCCACACCACAGUAGCCAAUAUAUUUCAACUGUGUCAUUUUUUUCUUUUUUAAUCCUUUUUGAGUAAUUCCAAAAGAGCUGAAUGGAUGCUGGUUGAGACUUUGCAGAACUGGUUAUACUAAUAAUACUCCUACGAAGGCAAGCUCAGGUACUUAAAAAGGCAUACUUUGAGGUCUUGCCAAGUUCAGGGAUAUAGCUUUUCAGAAAGACUAAGAUAAACAAUUUGUGUUAAGCUUAUUACCUGAAAUCAAUUGAGUGUAUGUACUGAGAAUUAUACUGUUUUUUAGAAGAAAACAUUUACUAGUCA
rnacentral:lncRNA from 1 species